ensembl:lncRNA
GGGGAUACAUAUGACUCCUCCAUUGUCCAUCCUCUGCAGGAAAACCCUCUGUGGAAAGGGUGCUGGAUCCAGUUAUCUUACUGCUGUUAUGAUCCCAGCAGUCUUCAGAGUGUCAUCGUAUGCACAGUACAGUGACACAGCAUUGGAUGAUGUUCACAGGAAACUGCUGUCAUCACCACCAUAGCUUCUGGUUCCUGUGCUUUUCACAGAAUCAUGAUGCCAUCCUUGGACUCCCCCUGCGCUGUCGGUGGAGCUUGGCACGCUCCCCUCAUCCUUCAGGUGCCCGUCUGUUGUCCACAAUCUCCUCUGUUGGCCUCUGGAAAGCCCCUUGGCACAGCUCUCAUCCUUCGCAGCAACCGUGGUCCUUGCUGUGGCUCCGACGUCUGAUCUCAUGAUGGGCCCCAAACAGCUCGACCUUUGACCUCAACCACUGCCCGGACUGUCAGCUAUGCCUGGAAUGGGUUGCUUCUCACUGGGCCUCAGAAGAUUUCUCAGGAGAUUCCUUUCAGCAAUACUCUGACUGCUGCACCUGUAUUUCCUUGCUAGGAGGAAAAACUCCUAUUUUGAAAGCAUGUAAAGCAUCAUCAAACCACAUUCUUUAGUUCAGUGAGCUUCAUUUAUGGACCAUCAAAGCCUCAUCUGAACACAGAUGCACCACUUGCAUAGGUUUAAUACCCGUCUGAACUGUUAAUCACAAAGAUCACACAAAAAUCAUAAAAACAUAGUUCAGAAAACAUGGAAAACAUAGUUUCAUGUAACUCUGUAAUUCUGGACCCCUCCUCUUGACGCAUGGACACUCCCAUGAGUCAACUCAUCAAACCUAGAUUUCUGUCUAAAAGAAAAAGGUUAGCUAGAUCAUGUCCCAGGCAACAUCAGGGCAUCUCCCCCUCUGGAGCAGCACCACCCCGGACCUAUAACCCUGCAAUAAAAGAUGUUAGUGUGUUUUGCAUAAUAAGUUUGCUUCACAUCUGGCUCCGCCUGGAGCCUGCAUACACACCAUCAUGGCCUGGAAAACAAGAUCUGGAAGUAAAAUCAAACUUCACACUUAUAAACAAUUGUAUCAUUAGAGUAAUAAAGCACUCAGCAUCAACAGGACAAGAAUCAUGUGCAGGUUUUCUCAAAUCAGUAAACUACAAUUAUUGCCAUAAUUUGCCUCAGACAUGGAUCAUCCCAUGUACUCAGUUAACAUUAAUGUAAUUGGUGACUUCCCUGAAGCAAAGUCACUCCAUGUAUUUAACACUAGGAGCUCAGUAGUGGCCAGCUAAUGAGCCCCAUAUCAAACUAUUCCACAAACACUGCAUCUCUUAGUUGCUUUCUCAUGUUACUUGUCCGUCUCUGCUGAAUCCUCUACAUGCACUCUUAGACAAACAAACAUUAGCAACACACAUGGACAAUCCUGGUGGUCAGGCACAAAUUGACAGGGUCCAGAGGUGCUAUAAAACGACCAUAAAGACCAUAGCUGUGGACAGAAGUGGCACUAGUUUCAACACAGGGAAUGUUUUACAUGUUAUUCACAUCGUCAAAGUAACCUUUAACAUUUUCCCAACAACACAGUGUAACAGCAUCACCAACUCAUAACCUGUAAACGCAGUUUUCUUCACACGUGAACCCAGAAAUCCUGUAGUAGAAGACAUCAACCAGCUAUCCUGGUAUAAAUCACAUGAUCAAAUCACAUGAAGAACUGUAAUGCUGUAGAAAUGUUAGCGCUGCGCAGGUGUAUACACACUUUCUCACAGUCACCUCUGUGAACAACACAAGGUAGUGAAUGACACCCCUGGUAGAUGCACAGACACAGAAAGUGGCAUUUAAAAGGUUAAAUCAUCAUGCAACCUCGAAUGUUGCUGUCAUCUUUCUGCUCCUGUAAAAAGAAACACACAUAGAUUCAUCUGCACCUUUGUCAGGUGGGGGUUAACUUCGCACAGUGAUGUCAGUCAGUCUGUCAGCUUCUGUCCGCUUUUACCAGUCAGUCAGUUUUAUUUUCUCUCCCUCAUUCAUUCAUGCAUUCAUUCGUUCUUUGCUGACAGUGGGAAUUAUUGUCGCAUUUUCAUUUCCACUUCUCAGCAAAAUGACGUCAUUUCAAAAAGAAAAGAAUUUAAACUGGAUUUUCUCGUUGAAUCCUUUUGGACAGGAACUUAUUUUCUAAUUGUCCCAGAUAAGUGACUUCCUCCUGAGCCCAUUUUAAUGUGGAGAAACUCACUUGCAACAAUUUUCUCGACGACGCGUCGUAUAGCGCUUCUGUUCUAAUCGUGCAGAUCUGCUCAAACAGAGAUCAUCAAACAAAACUUUCAGUGCACUGUGAAAGUAUCAAAAUAAAAAGGCCUCGUCAAGUCAUGACACAUAUUCCUCAUCUCAGGAGGGUAAAUCAUACCAUUAGCAUGAUUUAUCAAACCAUCAUACUAAUUGGCAGGCUCAACUUCACAACAAAAGAAAAAUCAUCAGCUAGAUAAACUCCAAACCAACCAUUAACCGCACAACACACAACAUAAGCCUCAUGUCUCAUUAGCUAUGAAUUUAAUCCCCAGGACUGUACUUUUUACUCAUUUAGGCCACAAAUUUUAUUUAGUUUUCCUUUUUCCCCUUCAUCUUAAACAUGUGACAUGUUGUCAUGCAUUUCGCAAAAGAAGUUUGUUCUCAUGUAUUCAGAGAGUUGUGUAUCUGGGUGCAGGAUUCACUCGCACAUCACAACAGGAAACUCAGUGUUUUAGAGUCUCCACUCUAACAAACUCCAUCACAUCCCAUUCACUCGUGCUAGAAUUCAAUCACCUUUCAUUAGUCUAAGAACCAUCAACUAAUUUGCAUAUCAGUUAUUAACCCACUAAGAUGACAGGACAACAGAAAUGCAUGUUCAAAAUAUUAUCACAAAAAUAGAAUUUCCCCUCAUACAGUAAAAUAUUUUGUGCUGCAUCAAUCAGGCAGAAAGCAUCUCCCAAUUUACUAUAUUACCAACUAAAUUUAUUGUCUGAUCACUGGUUGGUCAAACCAGAAUCUUUUUUCCCACAAAAAUUAAACUGUUGUCCUGCAACAUAGUUAACUGUCAGCAUUGGAUAAAUUAAGCAUUUGAUAACAAGUGUCUGUUAAAUUUACACUAUUUUAACACUGAUGAGAGAUAACAAGCUGAUCUUCAUUGCAUGUGUGUUUGUUAUUAGGCAGGUUUAAUCAAUGUCUGUGGAGCUGCAUCUCCAGCAGGGCAUGUUCUUAAAGCUGCCUUUCCUACACACUUCUCUGCUAUUAUUUGAUCAUCAUUUUCAACUAAUGUGCUAUGAGUCCACUGAUCUUUGCAUCACACGAGGUGACUUGGACAAGAUGAUAAACAGACUCACAUGCUCAAGAUGGUGUCUAAUCUUCAUGAGCUCUCUUGUGUUUGUGUUAGUAGGGUUAAUGCAUGUUCUGCUUGUGUGUGUGAUUUUGUAUAUGUUUCUUUUUGCAGUGUUUCAGAUUCCUUCACAAUUUUCCACUUAAGCAGUCAGUUUUCUUUUCCCCAGGUUUGCUAACCCAAAUUUUGAUUUCCCACAUUAAACACCAGCUUUCCUCUGUGUCCUUACCUCCUCUCACUCUGUUGUCCUCUCCCACUUCAACAGUCCAACAGCCGGCAGUUCUUCUUCAGCUUUGUCCUGUGUCCCACGGUCUCUUCUUGCCAUUUUACUCCGAAAGUGGCAAAUGUCAAACCCCAACAGUCUCCUCAGUUCUCCUCAAACGUUCUUUUCACAAGCACAGUGACUUUGCAGCUUGUUGGAAACACAGUGUCAUUCAUCCAGUCAGGAUGAUGGUUUGCUCUUCUUCUCCGAUGCUGUUUGUCCACACUGCUGCUGCUUGCUGGGUCUCUUUGCUCAGGACUUUGCUGCUCUCUCACUCCUCCCUGAAGACAAGGAAUGCAGUUCCAAAGAGCAAUAACAUGGCAGAUAAAGAGACAGCAGCAAAGU